rnacentral:rRNA from 1 species
GUGCCAGCAGCCGCGGUAAUACCGGCAGCCCGAGUGUUGGCCGAUCUUAUUGGGCCUAAAGCGUCCGUAGCUGGCCGCGCAAGUCCAUCGGGAAAUCCACCCGCCCAACGAGUGGGCGUCCGACGGAAACUGCACAGCUUGGGACCGGAAGGCUCGAAGGGUACGUCCGGGGUAGGAGUGAAAUCCCGUAAUCCCGCACGGACCACCGAUGGCGAAAGCACUUCGAGAAGACGGAUCCGACAGUGAGGGACGAAAGCCAGGGUCUCCAACCGGAUUAGAAACCCCUGUAGUCC